CCCUUAGAUGUUCUGGGCCGCACGCGCGCUACACUGAUGCAUUCAACGAGCCUAUCCUUGACCGACAGGUCCGGGUAAUCUUUGAAUCUGCAUCGUGACGGGGAUAGAUUAUUGCAAUUAUUAAUCUUCAACGAGGAAUGCCUAGUAGGCGCAAGUCAUCAGCUUGCGUCGAUUACGUCCCUGCCCUUUGUACACACCGCCCGUCGCUCCUACCGAUUGGGUGUGCUGGUGAAAUGUUCGGAUCGGCCGUUUGUCGCGGUUUCCGCGGCUCGAGGCUGAGAAGUUCAUUAAACCCUCCCACCUAGAGGAAGGAGAAGUCGUAACA
rnacentral:rRNA from 1 species